UACGGGGGGGGCGAGCGUUGUUCGGAAUUACUGGGCGUAAAGGGUUCGUAGGUGGCCUGCUAAGUCAGACGUGAAAUCCCUCAGCUUAACUGGGGAACUGCGUCUGAAACUGGCGGGCUUGAGUGCAGGAGAGGAACGCGGAAUUCCAGGUGUAGCGGUGAAAGUGCGUAGAUAUCUGGAGGAACACCGGUGGCGAAGGCGGCAUCCUGGACCGGUAUUGACGCUGAGGCGCGAAAGCUGAGGGGAGCAAACGGGG
rnacentral:rRNA from 1 species